rnacentral:lncRNA from 1 species
GUUCAACCAAUGACAUUCCCAGCCUGGCUGCUGUCACAAUAGAAAGAGCAUUACUGUGUAGGUGCUGGAAUAGAAAAGGUUUAUAACAGUAGGAUCUCUCUCUGCAGCAUCUGAGCCCAGAAAACAGAGCCACAAGUGGGGAAGGGUCUCCAUCCCACUGGGGUCCCCUUAUCUUAGAGUGAAUUCAGCAUAUACCCUGGGCUCCAUUGAGUUAGAGGGGGGGAAGGUUCUGAACCCCAUGCUUGAGAUUCUUGGGGUUCAACUGGGUGGACUUUCCUCCAGGGGGUUCCCAGAUGGCUCAGAACUGGGGAACAAGAAGGCAAUGAAAAUGGAUGGGGAGUGUCUGAGAGGCAAUUCUAGUGGAAUGUGUGUCCAAGAAAUAUUUUUCUCUGAGGUUUUUGCCUGGAAAAUCUUCUUCAAGCCUUAA